rnacentral:rRNA from 2 species
UACGGAGGGUGCAAGCGUUGUUCGGAUUUACUGGGCGUAAAGGGCGUGUAGGCGGUUGGCUAAGUCAGAUGUGAAAUCCCUUGGCUUAACCAAGGAACGGCAUUUGAAACUAGCUAACUAGAGUACAGGAGAGGAAAGUGGAAUUCCCAGUGUAGAGGUGAAAUUCAUAGAUAUUGGGAGGAACACCGGUAGCGAAGGCGGCUUUCUGGUCUGAUACUGACGCUGAGACGCGAAAGCGUGGGUAGCAAACAGG